GGUGGUGACAAUCUAGCUGUAAUAUCUGUCACCCUGCUUAUUGCCAGGGUUUCUCCAGAUGAUCUGGCGAUUUUGUAGGUAUCCUCUUCCUCUUUUAUGUCGCCAUGUGCACCCUACUGAAAACGCCUUCUUGGUGGAAGAGGAUGCCUUGCCCCAAAUGGAACAUUUCAAAGUGUUCACUAACCAGGUGUG
rnacentral:sRNA from 14 species